AAUCCCUGCACUCCUAAAGGGUCUUCCAACAGUUUUUCGGUAGUAAUACAAAGAGGCCGACGAAAUUGUCAUGUGAAUCCCACGUCAAACGUCUAAAGACGAAUAUCCAAACUAAUGAGACCAGGUGAAUUGUUCAAUGACACAGCUACAUAUGACAAGAUCGUGAAACCGAUGGCCAUAUUUUAUCGUUUUCACUGACCAAGCGACGUACUUCUACAAUGCUUGGUCAGUUUAUAGAAGUUGAAAAGGUUUUAUUGAACGGCUAUUUUGUUUAAAACUUUUCGAAUUGAGACGUGAUGAAUUAUGCUAUCCACUUUUUAAACUUUUUUUCGUUUAUUGGUAAUGAAACGUACGUAUGAUUGCUCACUUUGUCUUUGUAUUUUAGUAAUUUUAUUUAAUUUGGUAAAAUAUAUUCGGAGAUUGUUUUUAUAUUAA